ACGUCGUGAGACAGUUCGGUCCCUAUCUGCCGUGGGCGUUUGAGAUUUGAGAGGAGCUGCUCCUAGUACGAGAGGACCGGAGUGGACGUAUCUCUGGUGCUCCGGUUGUCACGCCAGUGGCAUAGCCGGGUAGCUAAAUACGGACGGGAUAACCGCUGAAAGCAUCUAAGCGGGAAGCCUCCCUCAAGAUGAGAUCUCACAGACGAAAGUCUCUAAAGGUUUGUCGAAGACGACGACGUUGAUAGGUGGGCUGUGAAAGCACAGUAAUGUGUGUAGCUAACCCAUACUAAUUUGACCGUGCGGCUUGACUCU
rnacentral:ncRNA from 1 species